ACUACGCAAUUAUAAAUAACCUUUAAUCUCCUUCAAAAGCAAUCACUAAGUAGCCCAAUCAGAUCAAAGCUGCCAAACAUUGGCUUCAACCAAACAUGGGUUGUAAGAUGAUCUCUAUGCUUUCGAUACUUGUUCUACUUCUGUCACUUUCACUACUCUUGCUUGCAUCUUCAACCACCAGCACUCGCGUUGGUAAGUCCAGCUAAAACCUUGUUAAUUUCUUGUAUAUACAUAUCUCUUUGGUUUGAUUUUCUGUGUUUUGUUUUGUUUUUUAUUGUUGGGGUUACUAUAGGAAAGAUGGGGAACCGAGAGAUCCGGAGAAAUUUGAUAUAUGGAGGACCAAAAGGAGGACAUGAUCAUCCAAGCAGUGGUAAUGUAUGCCGAGGUCCUCGUGGUGGCUGCGGCUGAUAGUAUAGAGAAGAAAACUUAUACUUCACAAUAUAAUACUUUUAUCAUUAAGUUAAAAAGACGUUGGUAGCAAAAAAGAAAACUUUACUAGAACAAGCCAAACCUAGGGUUAUAGUUAACGUUUUGUAGGUCGUAUUUGUACCGUAUUUCUACUUUAGUAUUUCAUAUCAAUACCAUCUUAUAUUUCUUUUCUUUUUGUGCCACAUAUUUAACAUUUACAGUUAAUAAUUAUAUUAUACCAAAUAAUAAG
rnacentral:lncRNA from 1 species